CCUACGGUGGGCAGCAGUGCGGAAUAUUGGUCAAUGGGCGCGAGCCUGAACCAGCCAAGUAGCGUGAAGGAUGACUGCCCUACGGGUUGUAAACUUCUUUUAUAAAGGAAUAAAGUGAGUCACGUGUGCCUUUUUGUAUGUACUUUAUGAAUAAGGAUCGGCUAACUCCGUGCCAGCAGCCUCGGUAAUCCGGAGGAUCCGAGCGUUAUCAGGAUUUCUUGGGUUUAAAGGGAGCGUAGAUGGGUUGUUAAGUCAGUUGUGAAAGUUUGCGGCUCAACCGUAAAAUUGCAAUUGAUACUGGCAGUCUUGAGUACAGUUGAGGUAGGCGGAAUUCGUGGUGUAGCGGUGAAAUGCUUAGAUAUCACGAAGAACUCCGAUUGCGAAGGCAGCUUACUAAACUGCCACUGACAUUGAUGCUCGAAAGUGUGGGUAUCAAACAGGAUUAGAUACCCUUGUAGUC
rnacentral:rRNA from 1 species